GACGAACGCUGGCGGCGGGCUUAACACAUGCAAGUCGAACGGAAAGGCGCUGCUUUUGUGUGGUGCUCGAGUGGCGAACGGGUGAGUAACACGUGAGUAACCUGCCCUUGACUUUGGGAUAACUUCAGGAAACUGGGGCUAAUACCGGAUAGGAGCUCCUGCUGCAUGGGGGGGGUUGGAAAGUUUCGGCGGUUGGGGAUGGACUCGCGGCUUAUCAGCUGGUUGGUGGGGUAGUGGCUUACCAAGGCUUUGACGGGUAGCCGGCCUGAGAGGGUGACCGGCCACAUUGGGACUGAGAUACGGCCCAGACUCCUACGGGAGGCAGCAGUCGGGAAUAUUGCACAAUGGGCGGAAGCCUGAUGCAGCAACGCCGCGUGCGGGAUGACGGCCUUCGGGUUGUAAACCGCUUUCGCCUGUGACGAAGCGUGAGUGACGGUAAUGGGUAAAGAAGCACCGGCUAACUACGUG
rnacentral:rRNA from 1 species